rnacentral:rRNA from 1 species
GGGUCAGUAGGUUGGUCGUGCCACCGGUACGUACUGGUCUCACUGAUCCCUCCUUCCUGAAGAACCGUAAUGCCAUUAAUUUGGUGUUGCGGGGAAACAGGACUGUUACUUUGAAAAAAUUAGAGUGUUUAAAGCACGCUAACGCUUGAAUACAUUAGCAUGGAAUAAUGAAAUAGGACGAUCGAUCCUAUUUUGUUGGUUUCUAGGAUUGACGUA